CAGGCCCAUAUCUCGUCCUGGUCAUCAGCUCUCGCCCACCAAUUCCAGCGUGCGUGCAACACAUCUCGACGCCUCACCCAUCCCAGCCGCAUCGCAACCCUAGCCGCCGCCGGAGCAGGCCGCGACGCCGCCCACGGGGAGCAGGACGACACGCCGCGACGCCGCCCACGGACGCCGCCGGAGCCAGCUAGGGCGGACUGCCGGAGCCCUGCGUCAGGGGCUCGGCUGCUCGGGGCGUCCAGAAGGCAGAGGAGGCUGGGAGCGCGCCGGCUCAUCAGGUCCCCAACCCCAACGCAUUUGACUAACGGAGCCCGGAGAAAUGAAAAGGAAGGCUUUGCACAGUUGGUUUGCAAGUAGUUCGAACACCCCCCAUGUUGUUGUUCCUGAACCUGAAGCAACCCAAAUUCCAAACUUGGACCCCCUUAUUCGAACAAAUCUGAGCAAUAAUCCCCCAAUCGAUGAGAAUAAUACACCCCCCCCCCUUCAAACGAGAGCAGCAACCCCCCAAUUGAUGAGAGCAUAAACCAACCACAAACAACAAGGCUUCUUAUCCAAGAAUUUCACCCAAGUCAAAUUUUUGGUGAUCCGGCAGAUCGAAUACCAAUAGAAGAUUAUGCCCCUGAUAUUCAAAGUGAAGUUAGAAGAGCUUAUUUGUUGAAAGGAAGAAACAAAGCUCAAGGGCAUAAUUUUGAAAUCACAUUGGAUGGUACAAUCCGGAGAUCUUUUCAA